GGGGGAGGAAGGUGGGGAUGACGUCAAGUCCGCAUGCUCCUUACGUCUAGGGCUACACACGUCCUACAAUGGGGUCGACAAUGGGAUGCAAUAUCGCAAGAUGGAGCCAAUCCCCAAACGGCCUCUCAGUUCGGAUUGUAGUCUGCAACUCGACUACAUGAAGUUGGAAUCGCUAGUAAUCGUGGAUCAGAAUGUCACGGUGAAUACGUUCCCGGGUCUU
rnacentral:rRNA from 1 species